rnacentral:rRNA from 1 species
GACGAACGCUGGCGGCGUGCUUAACACAUGCAAGUCGAGCGGUAAGGCCCUUUCGGGGGUACACGAGCGGCGAACGGGUGAGUAACACGUGAGCAACCUGCCCUUCUCUUUGGAAUAAGCGUUGGAAACGACGUCUAAUGCCGAAUAUGACCCCCUGUCGCAUGGUGGGGGGUGGAAAGCUCUGGCGGGGAAGGAUGGGCUCGCGGCCUAUCAGCUUGUUGGUGUGGGUAAUGGCCCACCAAGGCGACGACGGGUAGCCGGCCUGAGAGGGUGAACAGCCACACUGGGACUGGGACACGGCCCAGACGCCUACGGGAGGCAGCAGUGGGGAAUAUUGGACAAUGGGCGAAAGCCUGAUCCAGCAACGCCGCGUGAGGGAUGACGGCCUUCGGGUUGUAAACCUCUUUCAGCAGGGACGAAGCGAGAGUGACGGUACCUGCAGAAGAAGGACCGGCCAACUACGUGCCAGCCGCCGCGGUAAUAC